AUACGGAAGGUCCGGGCGUUAUCCGGAUUUAUUGGGUUUAAAGGGAGCGCAGGCGGAGAUGCAAGCGUGAGGUGAAAUGCCACUGCUCAACAGUGGAACUGCCUCGCGAACUGGUUGUCUUGAAUGCUCCUGCCGUGGGAGGAAUGUGUGGUGUAGCGGUGAAAUGCAUAGAGAUCACACAGAACACCGAUUGCGAAGGCAUCUCACGAAGGGGUGAUUGACGCUGAGGCACGAAAGCGUGGGGAUCAAACAGGAUUAGAUACCCUGGUAGUCCACGCAGUAAACGAUGAUGGCUAACCGCUGGUUUAUUCGGAUCAGUGGCCAAGCGAAAGCGAUAAGCCAUCCACCUGGGGAGUACGACCGCAAGGUUGAAACUCAAAUGAAUUGGCGGGG
rnacentral:rRNA from 1 species